rnacentral:rRNA from 1 species
AUGAACUGGAUGUUAGCAUAUCAUGCUAAGAUUGAUUGCUUCUCUAGAACUGUUCAACUUACACAUCCUUCGGGAAAGAUAGUCAAUGUCUUGACCCGAGUAGCCAAGCGACAGCUAUAUUCUCUUAAUGCCAGUCCUUUGCCAGACCUCGAAGACGUUCCGGUAGUCCGUGACUUUUCGGAUGUCUUUCCAGAAGAAUUGCCAGGUGUUCCAUCUGACAGAGAUGUCGAGUUCGUGAUAGAUCUUAUUUCAGGAACUGUCCCAAUUUCUAUAAGACCCUAUAAGAUGGCACCACCAGAACUAGCCGAGCUUAAGAAACAACUCGAUGAGUCCUUGAAAAAGGAUUUCAUCCGUCCUAGUUCGUCUCCAUGGGCUUGUCCCGUCCUUUUCGUCAAGAAGAAGGAUGGUACGGAUCGGAUGGUUGUAGAUUAUCGACCCGUUAACUUGGUCACAAUAAAGAACAAGUAUCCGCUCCCCAGGAUCAACGACCUAUAUGAUCAGCUCGCUGGAUCCUCAGUCUUCUCUAAGAUGGAUUUGAGGUUGGGCUACCAUUAA